rnacentral:lncRNA from 1 species
CCUUUGCCACCACCAACUCCACUAGCCACACUUGCUCCACCACCUACUCCACUAGCCACACUUGCUUCACCACCUACUCCAUUAGCCACACUUGCUCCACCACCACUUGCACCUACAAAUGAAGACAUAAACAAUAAAAAAUAUUUGGUAAAUGGCUAUAUAAGCCUUCUCAUAUUUUGUAUUUAGGAGAGGAAGAAGUUUUGGGGGAGAAAGUUAUUGUAAAGGAUUUUUGAGA